rnacentral:rRNA from 1 species
GAUGAACGCUGGCGGCGUGCCUAACACAUGCAAGUCGAGCGAUCUUCUUCGGAAGAGAGCGGCGGACGGGUGAGUAACGCGUGGGUAACCUGCCUCAUACACAUGGAUAACAUACCGAAAGGUAUGCUAAUACAAGAUGAUAUAAGAGAUUCGCAUGGAUUUCUUAUCAAAGCUCCGGCGGUAUGAGAUGGACCCGCGUCUGAUUAGCUAGUUGGUAGGGUAACGGCUUACCAAGGCGACGAUCAGUAGCCGACCUGAGAGGGUGAUCGGCCACAUUGGAACGAAGACACGGUCCAAACUCCUACGGGAGGCAGCAGUGGGGAAUAUUGCACAAUGGGCGAAAGCCUGAUGCAGCAACGCCGCGUGAGCGAUGAAGGCCUUCGGGUCGUAAAGCUCUGUCCUCGAGGAAGAUAAUGACGGUACUUGAGGAGGAAGCCCCGGCUAACUACGUGCCAGCAGCCGCCGUAAAAC